AGUGGCGAACGGGUGAGUAACGGGUGGGAAACCUGCCCAGGUGUGGGGGAUAACAUCUCUAACGGGGUGCUAAUACCGCAUACUCCGAGGAGUCGCAUGGCUCGUCGGUAAAGGGGGCCUCUGAUUCAAGCUCUCGCAUCUGGAUGGUCCCGCCUCCCAUUAGCUUGUUGGUGGGGUAACGGCCCACCAAGGCGACAACGGGUAGCUGGUCUGAGAGGAUGGUCAGCCACACUGGAACUGAGACACGGUCCAGACACCUACGGGUGGCAGCAGUCGAGAAUCAUUCGCAAUGGGGGAAACCCUGACGAUGCGACGCCGCGUGGAGGAUGAAGGCCUUAGGGUUGUAAACUCCUGUCAAGAGGGAAUAAGCAAGUGAAGGUACCUCUAGAGGAAGGGGCGGCUAAUUCCGUGCCAGCAGCCGCGGUAACACGGAAGCCCCGAGCGUUGUUCGGAUUCAUUGGGCGUAAAGGGUGCGUAGGCGGCGCGGAAAGUCCGGCGUGAAAGGCAGGGGCUCAACCUCUGGACUGCGUUGGAUACUUCCGUGCUUGAGGACUGGAGGGGAGACUGGAAUUCACGGUGUAGCAGUGAAAUGCGUAGAUAUCGUGAGGAAGACCGGUGGCGAAGGCGAGUCUCUGGACAGAUCCUGACGCUGAGGCACGAAGGCUGGGGGAGCGAACAGGAUUAGAUACCCUGGUAGUCCCAGCAGUAAACGAUGUGAGCUUGAUGUGGGGGGAUUCGACCCCUUCCGUGUCGAAGCUAACGCGAUAAGCUCACCGCCUGAGGAGUACGGCCGCAAGGCUAAAACUCAAAGAAAUUGACGGGGACCCGCACAAGCGGUGGAGUAUGUGGCUUAAUUCGAUGCAACGCGAAGAACCUUACCUGGCCUUGACAUGCAUUGUGUCGUCGGUGAAAGCCGGCUAGUCCUGGAAACAGGACGCUUUGCACAGGUGCUGCAUGGCUGUCGUCAGCUCGUGUCGUGAGAUGUUGGGUUAAGUCCCGCAACGAGCGCAACCCUUGUGGUCAGUUACUAACCGGCUUAGCCGGAGGACUCUGGCCAGACUGCCCUGUCAAACGGGGAGGAAGGUGGGGACGACGUCAAGUCAGUAUGGCCCUUAUGGCCAAGGCUGCACACGUACUACAAUGCCCGGUACAAUGUGAACCGAAACCGCGAGGUGGAGGAAUCGCUCUUGAAAACCGGGCCCAGUUCGGAUUGGAGUCUGCAACUCGACUCCAUGAAGUCGGAAUCGCUAGUAAUGGCGUAUCAGCAACGACGCCGUGAAUACGUUCCCGGGUCUUGUACACACCGCCCGUCACAUCAUG
rnacentral:rRNA from 1 species